GACAGAGGUCUCAAGCGUUAGGCGGAAUCACUGGGCUUAAAGCGUGUGUAGGCGGAUUCCUAAGUACCUUGUGAAAUCCCCGGGCUUAACCCGGGAACUGCUUGGUAUACUGGGUGUCUUGAGCCAACUAGGGGCGACCGGAACAAACGGUGGAGCGGUGAAAUGCGUAGAUAUCGUUUGGAACGCCAAUGGUGAAAACAACUUGCUGGGGGUGUGCUGACGCUGAGACACGAAAGCCAGGGGAGCAAACGGG
rnacentral:rRNA from 1 species